CAGUUGAUACUUGCCCGUCGUCGGGAUCGGACACACUGUCGACGCGGGGCAAAAGCUCGGUGGCCACCUGUCGUCAAUCUCUGCAACUACUGGCCGUCAACACACAACAUGGCGGGCGCUGGUCACUCAGGAGCGGUUUCUUUGCCACUGCGUCGAUGAUUUUCGAAUAAAUUGUUUCUCUCCA